AGGUGUAUAGCUUAGUUGGUAGAGCAUUGGACUUUUAAUCUAAUAGUCGCAGGUUCAAUUCCUGCUAUACCCA